rnacentral:rRNA from 1 species
GACGAACGCUGGCGGCGUGCUUAACACAUGCAAGUCGAACGGAAAGGCCCUGCUUUUGUGGGGUGCUCGAGUGGCGAACGGGUGAGUAUCACGUGAGUAACCUGCCCUUUACUUUGGGAUAACUUCAGGAAACUGGGGCUAAUACCGGAUAUGAGCUCCUUCUGCAUGGUGGUGGUUGGUAAAUUUCGGCGGUUGGGGAUGGACUCGCGGCUUAUCAGCUUGUUGGUGGGGUAGUGGCUUAACAAGGCUUUGACGGGUUGCCGGCCUGAGAGGGUGACCGGCCACAUUGGGACUGAGAUACGGCCCAGACUCCUACGGGAGGCAGCAGUGGGGAAUAUUGCACAAUGGGCGGAAGCCUGAUGCAGCAACGCCGCGUGCGGGAUGACGGCCUUCGGGUUGUAAACCGCUUUCGCCUGUGACGAAGCGUGAGUGACGGUAAUGGGUAAAGAAGCACCGGCUAACUACGUG